GCGCACCAGUCGCGAAACUUUACAAUGUGCGAAAGCACGAUAAGGGAACUCUGAGUGCCUCCUAAGGAGGCUGUUCAGGUGUCUAAAAGCACCUGGAGUAAGGGCUGGGUAAGACCGGUGCCGGCCGCCGCGGUAACACCGGCAGCCCAGGUGGUAGCCACUUUUAUUGGGUCUAAAGCGUCCGUAGCCGGUUGAGUAAGUUCCUUGGGAAAUUUGGCUGCUCAACAGUCAAGCUUCCAGGGAAUACUGCUCGACUUGGGACUGGGAAAGGUCAGAGGUACUCCAGGGGUAGGGGUGAAAUCCAUUAAUCCCUGGGGGACCACCGGUAGCGAAGGCGUCUGACCAGACCAGGUCCGACGGUGAGGGACGAAGGCUAGGGUCGCGAACCGGAUUAGAUACCCCGGUAGU
rnacentral:rRNA from 1 species